UUGCAAUGCAUGUUGUACCUAUUUACAUUCCACAAUAAUAAUAUUAAUUCACUUCAAACAGCUCAAUGCACUUCAUUAAAUCCAUAAUUUGAGAGUGCAAACAACAUAAAAAUGCUAAAUUAUUUGAAUCCAAUAAUAUUUCGCAUCUAAUUAGUUAUUUUAUCAAGUAGCUAUAAGCUCGAUAAUAAAUUACAUCGGACAGAUUCUCCCAACUCUUGAUCACAUGAACUUUCACAUGCUAUAUCUCUGAACAUCACAAUAUAUCACCUGAAAUGAUAAAACAAAAUGAAUAUAAUAUAAAUGACAUAUAAAGUUCAUCAAUAGUCAAGAAAAAUAGCUGCUUGACCUUUACAUAUACUGGCGGCAUAUCAAGGAAUUGCUACUACAAAAUUUAAUCAAAACCAAGUGUACAAGACAUGCAUUUCUUUUUUUGCUAACCAUUACAAUAUAACAAACCUCAAAAAGAUUUAUAGAGUUCGAAGAAAGUCAAAUACCAGUUCAAACAAAAUAUAUUGUGUUACACUUAACAAAGAGCAUUUUCUUUUGUCUUUAGCAAAUCCUAGAUCUUUGAAACACUGUAAUGCCUAUUUUUCCCAAUAAAACUCUUACGGUAACAGAUAAAUUUAUAUGGCUAUGACACUUCUGGAUAUAAAUGAGACGGAAAUUUCAUUAUUCAUGAUUCUACAAGUAAUAUCAAGUAGACAACAUCAUUGUUUAAACUCAUUUAAGUAGUUGGAUUUUUAAGUCCACACAGUUAUGUUUCAGCAUAGAGAUUACUUUAUGUAAUUUAGUGCAACGGUAGACAUAUUUUUAGCAAAUUACAACUCCUAAAUUUUCAGCUUUUUGCUCUUUUCAAAAAAUAAAUGAAACUUCAAGAAAACACCUUUCAACCCCAUGCCUAAUCAUACUUAAUUCAAAUUCCUCAUCUGCUAAUAACAUAUCAGCAAUAUAGCCCAUCUUUCAGCAUAACAAAGUAAUAAUCUAUAUAUAUAUAUAUAUAUAAGUAACUAAAUAACUUUUGAUAUUGAAAACUCUAAAGGAAAAAAAUCUCUCUUUUAAUCUAAUAUUUCAGUGCUCAUCCACAUUCAGAGGGUAUUCCAUUCUCUUCCCUAAAGAGAAGAUAAGAUAUUCAGAAAAGAAUACAAUCACAGUCUAAUAAAAUUAUCCACAACGAAAAUGAAGUUGACGAAGUUGACAGAUAGAUUGUAGACAACAUAUAUCACUUGAACCAAAUAGAGAUAUUAGUUAAAAAAACUGAACAGUUAAUGAGUUAACAAUGAAAUUAGACUAAAUAAGAGAUACUAACCUAGCUUUGUUCGAAUAAGUAUAAUUGGUACUCCGGGAACAUAAUGUCUCAAUUUAGGAAUCCGCUAAAAAAUAAUAACAAGAGCAAGAAAUAAGGUAUUCCUUCAGAGAAAUUAUAAAAUAUCACCAACCAUAGAAACGUUUCAUUUUUCUCUUUAACAGACAACCUUUACCCGUUCAUUUCUAGUAAACAUACGAAAUCCUAAAAUGCCGGAGUAGAGUACUAGUAUUUUUAGUAUAUUCACCAGUCGUCUUCACCAAAUAACUAAAGUGAAAACUAAAACAAGCCAAGGUUUGCAUGAACUUACUUCAAGUAACAAGUAUUGGUAUUACAACUAGCGUACACAUUUCUCCGCUGUAUUAUAAAAAAACAAGUAAAAGUACUAUAAAGAAACUUGAAAUUAAGAAGGAAGUCUACCUUUUUUUGGAGACAUUUUUGUAAUUGUGCUUGCUAGCGAGAAAUCUUUCUGUCUGAAAUUCUAGAUACN
rnacentral:lncRNA from 1 species